rnacentral:rRNA from 1 species
CAUGCAAGUCGAACGAAGCGCUUAAACGGAUUUCUUCGGAUUGAAGUUUUUGCGACUGAGUGGCGGACGGGUGAGUAACGCGUGGGUAACCUGCCUCGUACAGGGGGAUAACAGUUAGAAAUGACUGCUAAUACCGCAUAAGCGCACAGUGCUGCAUGGCACAGUGUGAAAAACUCCGGUGGUAUGAGAUGGACCCGCGUCUGAUUAGCUAGUUGGUGGGGUAACGGCCUACCAAGGCGACGAUCAGUAGCCGGCCUGAGAGGGUGAACGGUCACAUUAGGACUGAGACACGGCCCAAACUCCUACGGGAGGCAGCAGUGGGGAAUAUUGCACAAUGGGGGAAACCCUGAUGCAGCGACGCCGCGUGAGCGAAGAAGUAUUUCGGUAUGUAAAGCUCUAUCAGCAGGGAAGAAAAUGACGGUACCUGACUAAGAAGCACCGGCUAAAUACGUGCCAGCAGCCGCGGUAAUACGUAUGGUGCAAGCGUUAUCCGGAUUUACUGGGUGUAAAGGGAGCGUAGACGGUUGUGUAAGUCUGAUGUGAAAGCCCGGGGCUCAACCCCGGGACUGCAUUGGAAACUAUGUAACUAGAGUGUCGGAGAGGUAAGCGGAAUUCCUAGUGUAGCGGUGAAAUGCGUAGAUAUUAGGAGGAACACCAGUGGCGAAGGCGGCUUACUGGACGAUCACUGACGUUGAGGCUCGAAAGCGUGGGGAGCAAACAGGAUUAGAUACCCUGGUAGUCCACGCCGUAAACGAUGACUACUAGGUGUCGGGGAGCAAAGCUCUUCGGUGCCGCAGCAAACGCAAUAAGUAGUCCACCUGGGGAGUACGUUCGCAAGAAUGAAACUCAAAGGAAUUGACGGG